ensembl:lncRNA
AGCAACAGAGUGGGGAAGGAAGCAAACUUAAGUCGAACUUUCUUAGCCUCAGUUUCAUUUUCUAUGAAAUAAGGAUAGUAAUACCUCAUUGAUUGCUAUGGAGAUUAAAUUAGAUAAUGUAUGUAAAAUGCAAAAGACAAUCUAUAAAUGUUUACUUUUCUCCUGCCAUCCAUCUAGCCCAAACUUGCACUAGAGGUGAUUAGGUAGUUAGAUUUCAAAUAACUGAGUUGUGAUGUCAGCAAAAUCAGAAUUAAGCAGACUGAAUUUCCAGAUGUGUCCAAAUGUCAAUGAAGUCAAUAUUUAAGCAGAGAUCUAUUGGACUGCGCUGUAACUCCAUAAGCCUUGAAUAAUUGAGAAUUGACCAUAAACUGAGAAUCGUAUUAUGUUCUGCAUUAUGACCUUGCAUUAACAGAGACUGAACAAUUGAAGGUUUGGAGGUAAGUGAAAGAGCCUGGUGCCUGUAAUAUUUCAGGAGGAAAUGUAACCAUUUAACAAGCAACACAAGUACUGGUAUUAAUUGAGAAAGGUUUCAUUGAUCUCUCUGGAAAAUUUCUCCCUUCAAAUGCCACUUGUCACUAGAGUGUGGAUUCUCUAAUGUAUUUAGUGAUCACUCAAUUAUGUCCAGUACUUGCUCUCCAUCCUGGUCUUAUAAUACAGACUCUUCUACAUUUUCAAUUGUUCCAGGCUCUAGCCACAUCUUAGUUCUGUGCAACAAUAGGCAUUGUGGAAUUGCUGCAAAUCAAAUUUCCCAGCAGACGCUUAUGAUGCACCAAGCCUCAUCCUUUUCACCCACCCGAUUUUGGUGCCGCGGAGGUGGGCAGCUCCAGGUGAGUUACCAGCAUCGCUCACCAAGCACAGGAUGUGACCUCUCUCUGCUGCCUUGGAGGGCUUUUUGUGAAAGCACAGAAGGCUGAUCAGUCGUAUACAGACACAACCUGGAAGCUUGGGGAAGUAAAUGCCCUAUGAGACAGCCUUGCUCCAAAGGCUGGUGGGAAUCAGUGCAUAAAUGUCUCAGGCUUCUUGUCCUCUGGUGAGACAAAUCUGAGGUAUGGCCCACGCCGUUCCCCAGGGGAGCCUCAGCAAGAGUGAGCUCUAGUUGCCCACAGCAAUAAUUAGCAGAUUAACACAUGGAUUGUACUGUGUUUUCUUACUGUCUUUUCCCUACUCCCUCACUUCUGCUUUCUGGGGCUGCCUCCCAUCAAACCAUCUGCACCCAGCCUUUGUCUCAAGCUUUGCUCUCUGGAGGUAUUACUCCAGCCUAACUCCCUCUAGACGUAUUAGCAUAGUGCUAAAGAAACAGAAAAACCUCAAACUACAGCAAAAACGAGAUAUUUCAGUAAGCACCCUAUGGCGAAAAUUCCUGGCGGUGAGUUUUACUACCUUACUGAAGGGAUUAGGGAACUGCUGGGAUAAUAGCUAGUAUACUCAGGACUUUCAAAGCUUCAGAGCUGUUGUUUUCAGUGUAUUUCAGACCUUUAAUUACAGAAGAAAGUCCCGAAUGUGGAGAGUGGGAACUCACAUCAGUUCUGUUUGAGUCAUUGAAUAACACUGUAUAAAGUCUGCUCUUAUAAAGCGCUGUGAAAGGGGUGACCUAAGGAAUGAAGAACAAAACAUCAAAGGAGUGAGAAAGAAGGAGAGAAUUAAGAAUUGUGUGGAUAAUUGAGUCCCCAAACUUUGCCUGUUUUAGGCUUCCUUCCAAUCCAGCAUUUAUCUUGGAACUGCCGGGUCUUAUGUUCCAUGAGGGCUGGUAACUCUGUGUAUUGUUCCCUCUGUGUCACCUCACACAGCACAUGGGACAUAGCAGCUGCAAAUAAGCAAAUUUGGAAUAAAUGAAUAAAUUAACUGAUCGAAUUUCCCUGCUUAGGAGUGUGAUGUGAGGGAAAGCCUUAGACCAGAAGGUGGCAGAAGGGGUUCAAGCCUAGGAUCUCAUUAACCUGACACCUCAGCUUGUCACCUCAACAGUCCUGCUGGUGCUGGGUAGCCCAACACCAAAACAGAGGCCUUUAAUUGGUUUCAGAGUUUUAAGGAAACUUGUUAAGCAACCCAACUUUGAAGGCAAGCAGAAAUGGGUG